rnacentral:rRNA from 1 species
AUUGAACGCUGGCGGCAUGCCUUACACAUGCAAGUCGAACGGCAGCACGGGGCAACCUGGUGGCGAGUGGCGAACGGGUGAGUAAUGCAUCGGAACGUACCUUUCAGUGGGGGAUAACGUAGCGAAAGUUCCGCUAAUACCGCAUAUUCUGUGAGCAAGAAAGAAGGGGAUCGCAAGACCUUGCGCUGAUUGAGCGGCCGAUGUCAGAUUAGCUAGUUGGUGAGGUAAAGGCUCACCAAGGCGACGAUCUGUAGCGGGUCUGAGAGGAUGAUCCGCCACACUGGAACUGAGACACGGUCCAGACUCCUACGGGAGGCAGCAGUGGGGAAUUUUGGACAAUGGGGGCAACCCUGAUCCAGCCAUGCCGCGUGAGUGAAGAAGGCCUUCGGGUUGUAAAGCUCUUUCGGCCGGGAAGAAAUCGCACGGGCUAAUACCCUGUGUGGAUGACGGUACCGGAAUAAGAAGCACCGGCUAACUACGUGCCAGCAGCAGCCGCUGUAA